rnacentral:rRNA from 1 species
GGCGAUUUUAACGAGAUUCUGUAUUCUCAUGAGAAGGAAGGUGGAGCGCCGCGACCAAAAAAUAUGAUGCAGAGGUUCAGGGACGCUUUGGUUGACAGUGGACUUGAGGAUAUGGGCUUCACCGGAGACGACUUCACUUGGAGGAGACGAAGAAUACGGGAGAGGCUGGAUAGAGCUGUAUGCAAUGGACAGUUCCUAGGUCUCUUCCCUAAUGCAAAGAUCACCAACACAGGGCAUACUAAAUCAGAUCAUAGACCGGUCCUU